AUUGAACGCUGGCGGCAGGCUUAACACAUGCAAGUCGAGCGGGGGAAGGUAGCUUGCUACUGGACCUAGCGGCGGACGGGUGAGUAAUGCUUAGGAAUCUGCCUAUUAGUGGGGGACAACAUCUCGAAAGGGAUGCUAAUACCGCAUACGUCCUACGGGAGAAAGCAGGGGAUCUUCGGACCUUGCGCUAAUAGAUGAGCCUAAGUCGGAUUAGCUAGUUGGUGGGGUAAAGGCCUACCAAGGCGACGAUCUGUAGCGGGUCUGAGAGGAUGAUCCGCCACACUGGGACGGGGACACGGCACAGGCUCCUACGGGAGGCAGCAGUGGGGAAUAUUGGACAAUGGGGGGAACCCUGAUCCAGCCAUGCCGCGUGUGUGAAGAAGGCCUUAUGGUUGUAAAGCACUUUAAGCGAGGAGGAGGCUACUCUAGUUAAUACCUAGGGAUAGUGGACGUUACUCGCAGAAUAAGCACCGGCUAACUCUGUGCCAGCCGCCGCGGUAA
rnacentral:rRNA from 1 species